rnacentral:rRNA from 1 species
AUUGAACGCUGGCGGCAUGCUUUACACAUGCAAGUCGGACGGCAGCACAGAGAAGCUUGCUUCUUGGGUGGCGAGUGGCGAACGGGUGAGUAACAUAUCGGAACGUACCGAGCAGUGGGGGAUAACUAAUCGAAAGAUUAGCUAAUACCGCAUAUUUUCUGAGGAAGAAAGCAGGGGACCAUUUGGCCUUGCGCUGUUUGAGCGGCCGAUAUCUGAUUAGCUAGUUGGUGGGGUAAAGGCCUACCAAGGCGACGAUCAGUAGCGGGUCUGAGAGGAUGAUCCGCCACGCUGGGACUGAGACACGGCCCAGACUCCUACGGGAGGCAGCAGUGGGGAAUUUUGGACAAUGGGCGCAAGCCUGAUCCAGCCAUGCCGCGUGUCUGAAGAAGGCCUUCGGGUUGUAAAGGACUUUUGUCAGGGAAGAAAAGGGCGGGGUUAAUACCCCUGUCUGAUG